CUCGUUAAAGGAGUCUUGCGAAGGUACGGCCGAGUACAGGUAUUAUGAAAAUCUCUCAAUAAGGUAGGAUAAUAAUCGCAUGCAGAUUUAUAUAAUCAAAUUAUCGCCAGUACCUAAGUUUAAAUGUCAGUACAUCUCAUCUCAAAGUUAAGGCCCAGACUCCACCAAAAAAGAAGAAAAGAAGAAAAAAGAGCGGAACGGAGAAGUUUUUAAGCAACCAAUAGAAUUUCAAAACAUAUUGUCUCCGCCCACUCAAUAGUAUCCCUGAACGGAUAAAUUCUAUUGGUUGUUUAGAAACUGCUCCAGUCCGCUUUGAAGGAGUCUAGACUAACUUGACAUAUACUUUAAAUCAAAUUUUUCACCAGUCAAUAAACACUGUUCAAGACAUUUACCCAUAAAAACUUAUUAUCAAUAGUGAGUGCACACGAAAACAAUAAUGGAAAUUAAAUAGUGAUAUUAAUAAACAAAAUACAUACAAAAACACAGUACAAUAGUGUUCAGUGUUCAAAUUAACGGUUCUGUGACUUCGGAAGUGCUCGUGUAUCUUCGUGUGAGGUCGGAACGAGCCGCUAGAGGAGUGGAGUGGGAGUAAGAUGGAAGAUAAUGCUGACAGGCAGUGUAAAUAUAGAACCUCCCUCCCAGUGGCUCAGUUCAGCCGCGGCGACUUCUCCCUCUGGUCUGUGCUGAAGAACUGCGUCGGCAAGGAGCUAUCCAAGAUCACGAUGCCUGUGGUGUUCAACGAGCCCCUGUCCUUCCUCCAGAGGAUGUUGGAGUACCUGGAGUACGCUCAUCUGCUGAGGAUGGCGUCGGAGCAAACCGAUCCUGUUGCCAGGAUGGAGUAUAUUGCUGCGUUCGCAGUAAGUGCGUUGGCGUCCAACUGGGAGCGCCUGGGCAAGCCGUUCAACCCUCUGCUCGGGGAGACUUAUGAACUCGAGCGCCCCGAGUUCAGGGCUGUUUGUGAACAGGUAUCCCACCACCCCCCAGUGUCGGCUUUCCACGCCGACAGUCCUCACUUCGUGUUCCACGGUUCAGUUCACCCCAAGCUGAAGUUCUGUGGCAAAAGCGUCGAGAUUCAGCCUAAGGGCCACGUCACUGUUGAGCUGCCGAGAUGGGGCGAAGCUUACACCUGGAGCAACGUCAACUGCUGCGUCCAUAACGUGAUCGUUGGCAAGCUCUGGAUAGAACAGUUUGGCGCCAUGGAGGUGACCUGUCAUGGCGGUGCCGGGCUUAAAGCGAACCUCGUCUUCAAGCCAGCUGGGUUCAAUAAUAGGGACCUGCAUCGCGUGGAUGGGUUCAUUACUGAUGCCAACAAAAAGCGCCUCAAGUUCCUGUACGGCAAAUGGACGGAGUAUAUAAAGUGCUGCAGCGCUUCAGCGUACGAGGCGUGGGCUCGCGAGCGUGGCGAGGAGGCGUCGGCGCAGACCCCCUCGCACACGCCCAAGAAGAUGCUCGCUAAACUAAACAGCUUUAAGGUCGGGGCGCUGCGCUCCAUGUCUAUUCAGGAUUCAGACGACGCGGAGAAUUCUGAAGACGUGCCGAAGUCAGAUGAUACGAACAACAUAGAAAUCGCUGGCUCAGUCACACUGUGGGAGGCGAGGCCGCGACCCAGCACUAGUGCACAGUACUACCAAUUCACGGAAUUCGCGAUGUCUCUGAACGAACUCGAAAGGGACAUGAAAGGCCAGCUCUGUCCCACUGACAGCCGACUCAGGCCUGAUAUCCGACUCCUGGAGCAAGGCGACAUCGAUGGCGCUGCCACUGAGAAGACCAGGCUUGAGGAGAAGCAGCGCACUGCUAGGAAGCUGCUCAAGAAGUCACCUGAAGCUUGGCAGCCGAGGUGGUUCAGCCAAGGCACGAACCCUUACACGAAGCAAGAAGACUGGUUGUACAACGGCGGCUAUUGGGACCGCAACUACCAACACUUGAAGGACGUCGAUAUAUUCUGAACCUACCUCUAACUCUGCUACUCCGUACAAAACAUUGUGACUGGAAAUCUUAGAAGAAUAUUAACGGCUGCUUUUGUUUAUCAGGUAUUUUUUUGUCUGCUGUAGUAUGUUUUUUGUGCCAAAGUAUGUAUAUUAUAUGCGAGUGUGACAUUUUUUUUUCUGAAAGCAUUUCUGAAGGCGUAGCUCAAGGAGUACUUAGAAGGAUCGACGGUCCAACAUGAGGUUUUGGUAUGAGUAUGAUGAUGCAGAGUCGUGAUGCUGAGUAGGAACCUGGUGAUGGGGUAAAGUGGGUUUACCUAUGCGAGAUGUUUCUCAACUCUGGGUACGGUGUAGUAAAAGAUCACUUAUUCUUUGAGAAGGAUAAAUGGGCGGUAUGAUAGGUUUCGACAAAAAUUCGUGUAGGCAAGGAAUGGUCUCAGUUUGUCUAAAAACAAGGCGGUUUAAGUAAAUACUCGUUAUUGUGACAGUGAAGAAAGUAAGAUAGAAGAAAUAUGUGUACCAAGAAUAUAGUUUUAUAAUUUGUGAUAUAUUGCCACCAAAAGCACCAGAUCUCUUAAUUUUAAUAGAUCUCGUAAUUUAUUUAAUUUGGCUUGAAGCUAAAAUGUAUAUAAGAAUGAUAUCAAAACAUACAAUGGAUUUGGAAUUAAAUAUAAAUGAAGUUUAAUGAAAAGAAGUAUUAAAUAAGAUUAUAUAAAGUAGUGGACCAGAACGGAAUGGAUUUAAGAAAGAUUAAUAUUUUCAUCUUGAAGUUAAGAAAUAUAAGAUAGGAUAGAAAUGAUUAUUGAGGCUUGUAAGCUAUUCUCAACUUUGUAAACAUAUUUGAUUAAUUUAAGAGUCAAUAAAUACCUACUUAGUUACUCAAGAUUAUGAAGAGGCGACGCAAUGAGUGUUUGAGACUUUUUAGCCUCGAUAUAAAUUAUAUUGAAGAAUACCUAUAAUUAUGAAAAAUAUGGUCUGGGUAAUGUCUACCUAUUGCAGGAAGUCAUUUUAAUUAAUCUUUAUUUUUAAGAGGUUUAGUUUGAAUAUGCAAUAGGUAUUAAUAUUAUUAAAAAACAAAUGUUUAUUUAAUAAUUAUUGUGAUUAAAUAAAACUAAGACUUUUGACCUUAUUUCUAAUGAUACGAAUUCUUUAACUUUGCUUCCGAUAUUUAAAAGUGAAGUCAAUUAUUAGUUAAAGAUGUUGAAAGUUUCAAUGUAGCUGUAUCGUUGAAUAUGUUGUGUCAGGAGAAAAAACUUAGGAGAACACAUCAAAAUAAUGAACACAUCUAAAUAAAAUGUGUGUGUUUUAAAAUGAAUCCUAUACCUAUUAUUAAUGCGAUUAAUAUUGCGAUUGUCGUGCUCCACAUUCCGCGAGGCACAAUAUCUCUAAGGCGUUUUCAGAGGUCAACAUUUGUGUGGUAUAACCGCUUAUUUAACAACUAUCCUGUUGUCAGUACAAAAAUGCUAUUUCCCUUGAUUUAUAGCUGAUGUACGUAAAAUCUGUUAGUGUGAAAGCGUUCUUCGUGUUUGGUUUUUCUGACACAACAUGAAAUUAUAGUAGAUCUUGUAAUACUGUAGACGUAAAGCUUGCAUGUGUAAACUAAAUGUCGCUAAUUGUUAGCUCCAUUUAAUAUAAUGACUAGCUAUUACAUACUCAGAAGAUUUUUUUUUUGUAUUUUCUGUGAACUCGUCAUAUAUAGGUAUGUAUUUAUUUAUUCUUUAUUUAAUUUCAAAUUAAUUAAUGAAUGUUAAUUUAUAUUGAAUAAUCAGUAAAAAUUAUUCAAAUUAAUUCAUUGAUAGUAUCGUAUACGAAAGAAAAAAUGGACUCUUACCUAUGAGAUUCUGUGUCCUGUAAAAUCUACAAUCAUGAAAAUCGAUGAAUACUCUUUAAUUAAAUAGUAGAUAUUAAUUAUAUAAUUAAGUAUGCAGUUAUUUGUAAUUAAUAAAUAUAUAUUAAAGUAGAAAUAAUUAUUGUUAUCGUUAAUUGAGCAUUUGAUGCUGUAUAAUUGCGUUUGUUAAUCAAAGAUAAGAUUAAAAUGUUUUGCUAUAGUUAUGCUUUAACUUUCUACUGUAAGAUAUUUAAUUGAAUUAUAUUGCUAUAUAAUUUAAAUAACAUUAAGCGUUAAUAAACAUACUUACACGAUUCGUCAUAAGAAAAUAGCUGAAAUACUAUAAGAUAUAGGUACGUAAAAAUAUUAUUUGCAAAAUGAAAAUAAUGAUUUCUGAAAUGAAGUAUGUCUGAAUU